rnacentral:rRNA from 1 species
CAGCCGCCGCGGGAAUACGUAGGGUGCAAGCGUUGUCCGGAAUUAUUGGGCGUAAAGAGCUCGUAGGCGGCUUGUUGCGUCGACUGUGAAAACCUGGGGCUCAACCCCGGGCCUGCAGUCGAUACGGGCAAGCUAGAAUUCGGUAGGGGAGACUGGAACUCCUGGUGUAGCGGUGAAAUGCGCAGAUAUCAGGAAGAACACCGGUGGCGAAGGCGGGUCUCUGGGCCGAUAUUGACGCUGAGGAGCGAAAGCGUGGGGAGCAAACAGGAUUAGAUACCCCAGUAGUCCCUGUCUCUUAUAC